UGAAUGGCAAGGGGGAUAACUUACUUGGUAAACGGUAGCUAAUACCGCAUAANGUCGCAAGACCAAAGAGGGGGACCUUCGGGCCUCUUGCCAUCGGAUGUGCCCAGAUGGGAUUAGCUAGUAGGUGGGGUAACGGCUCACCUAGGCGACGAUCCCUAGCUGGUCUGAGAGGAUGACCAGCCACACUGGAACUGAGACACGGUCCAGACUCCUACGGGAGGCAGCAGUGGGGAAUAUUGCACAAUGGGCGCAAGCCUGAUGCAGCCAUGCCGCGUGUAUGAAGAAGGCCUUCGGGUUGUAAAGUACUUUCAGCGGGGAGGAAGGCGAUAAGGUUAAUAACCUUGUCGAUUGACGUUACCCGCAGAAGAAGCACCGGCUAACUCCGUGCCAGCAGCCGCGGUAAUACGGAGGGUGCAAGCGUUAAUCGGAAUUACUGGGCGUAAAGCGCACGCAGGCGGUCUGUCAAGUCGGAUGUGAAAUCCCCGGGCUCAACCUGGGAACUGCAUUCGAAACUGGCAGGCUAGAGUCUUGUAGAGGGGGGUAGAAUUCCAGGUGUAGCGGUGAAAUGCGUAGAGAUCUGGAGGAAU
rnacentral:rRNA from 1 species